CCUACGGGGAGCUGCAGUGAGGAAUAUUGGUCAAUGGGCGCGAGCCUGAACCAGCCAAGUAGCGUGAAGGAUGACUGCCCUACGGGUUGUAAACUUCUUUUAUAAAGGAAUAAAGUGAGGCACGUGGGCGUUUUUGUAUGGACGUUAUGAAGAAGGAUCGGCUAACUCCGUGCCAGCAGCCGCGGUAAUACGGAGGAUCCGAGCGUUAUCCGGCUUUAUUGGGUUUAAAGGGAUCGUAGAUGGGUUGUUAAGUCAGUUGUGAAAGUUUGCUGCUCAACCGUAAAAUUGCAAUUGAUACUGGCAGCCUUGCGUACAGUUUAGGUAGGCGGAAUUCGUGGU
rnacentral:rRNA from 1 species